GACGAACGCUGGCGGCGUGCCUAAUACAUGCAAGUCGAACGAACUCUGGUAUUGAUUGGUGCUUGCAUCAUGAUUUACAUUUGAGUGAGUGGCGAACUGGUGAGUAACACGUGGGAAACCUGCCCAGAAGCGGGGGAUAACACCUGGAAACAGAUGCUAAUACCGCAUAACAACUUGGACCGCAUGGUCCGAGCUUGAAAGAUGGCUUCGGCUAUCACUUUUGGAUGGUCCCGCGGCGUAUUAGCUAGAUGGUGGGGUAACGGCUCACCAUGGCAAUGAUACGUAGCCGACCUGAGAGGGUAAUCGGCCACAUUGGGACUGAGACACGGCCCAAACUCCUACGGGAGGCAGCAGUAGGGAAUCUUCCACAAUGGACGAAAGUCUGAUGGAGCAACGCCGCGUGAGUGAAGAAGGGUUUCGGCUCGUAAAACUCUGUUGUUAAAGAAGAACAUAUCUGAGAGUAACUGUUCAGGUAUUGACGGUAUUUAACCAGAAAGCCACGGCUAACUACGUGCCAGCAGCCGCGGUAAUACGUAGGUGGCAAGCGUUGUCCGGAUUUAUUGGGCGUAAAGCGAGCGCAGGCGGUUUUUUAAGUCUGAUGUGAAAGCCUUCGGCUCAACCGAAGAAGUGCAUCGGAAACUGGGAAACUUGAGUGCAGAAGAGGACAGUGGAACUCCAUGUGUAGCGGUGAAAUGCGUAGAUAUAUGGAAGAACACCAGUGGCGAAGGCGGCUGUCUGGUCUGUAACUGACGCUGAGGCUCGAAAGUAUGGGUAGCAAACAGGAUUAGAUACCCUGGUAGUCCAUACCGUAAACGAUGAAUGCUAAGUGUUGGAGGGUUUCCGCCCUUCAGUGCUGCAGCUAACGCAUUAAGCAUUCCGCCUGGGGAGUACGGCCGCAAGGCUGAAACUCAAAGGAAUUGACGGGGGCCCGCACAAGCGGUGGAGCAUGUGGUUUAAUUCGAAGCUACGCGAAGAACCUUACCAGGUCUUGACAUACUAUGCAAAUCUAAGAGAUUAGACGUUCCCUUCGGGGACAUGGAUACAGGUGGUGCAUGGUUGUCGUCAGCUCGUGUCGUGAGAUGUUGGGUUAAGUCCCGCAACGAGCGCAACCCUUAUUAUCAGUUGCCAGCAUUAAGUCGGGCACUCUGGUGAGACUGCCGGUGACAAACCGGAGGAAGGUGGGGAUGACGUCAAAUCAUCAUGCCCCUUAUGACCUGGGCUACACACGUGCUACAAUGGAUGGUACAACGAGUUGCGAACUCGCGAGAGUAAGCUAAUCUCUUAAAGCCAUUCUCAGUUCGGAUUGUAGGCUGCAACUCGCCUACAUGAAGUCGGAAUCGCUAGUAAUCGCGGAUCAGCAUGCCGCGGUGAAUACGUUCCCGGGCCUUGUACACACCGCCCGUCACACCAUGAGAGUUUGUAACACCCAAAGUCGGUGGGGUAACCUUUUAGGAACCAGCCGCCUAAGGUGGGACAGAUGAUUAGGGUG
rnacentral:rRNA from 2 species